rnacentral:lncRNA from 1 species
AUGGAAUGCACUCAAUUACUAUUAGGCCAAAAAUCACACUUGGUAGCCGAAAUUACAGUGAAGGACAAAGACCACUAAACAGGCUCGACCCAUUACUUGACCUAUUAUUAUUACAUAUAUAUAGGUUUGUGUCCUUUGUGCUCUGAUACAAUACACAACUUCCUCCGCAUUAUUAUUUAGACUUGGUUGCGCCUUUUUUCUUCCUUGGCUCUUACUUCGUGGCUAUCUUUUUUUUCUGCCUCUUUGUGAUUGCCUUCUUUGCUCCUUACCGUCGGCACUUGGCCAGGAUUGUACCUCUGUCUGUGUGUGUUUUUACCCCCUGUUGCUGCUCUGUUUUGCCCCUAUUCGAUCGCCUCUGUGAGUGGUCUUCUAUUGUAAUCCAUUUGAGUGGGUAAUCUUGGUCCAAUUUGUGUGGUGCUGUGUGAUUAUAGGCUCGUGAUCUGAGCUCUAUCCAUCCACUUUUGGUGCCAAUCCAUUGCAGCUUGAUGGAUAUUGAAUAGUUAACUAACUUUGUGUGGUUAAUUGAUUGAUAGGCGUUUUUCUCACUACACAAGGAACUUUAUGUAUAUCGAGAAUAAUAUUUGUUUAUUUGUCAUUUUAUUGGUGUCUCUUACCAUUGACGUUAUUGUCGUUGGU